AUGGAUGAUGCAUUGCUUGCAAUCCUUGUUGAGCAUCACAAGAAAUGUGACCAUGCCAAAAAUGGAUGGAAGUCAUGAGUGUAAACACAUGCCAUAAGGCAUGUGAAGGACAAGUGCAAUAAGGAUAUCACAAAGGAGAACAUGAGUGGAAGGAUGAGGACUUUGGAUCAUCACUAUGAGGGCGUAAGAAAAAUCCUUUCUCAAAGUGGUUUUGGUUGGGAUUGGACCAAUAAUAGGCUAUCAAUGGAUAGUGAUGAUGUUUGAGCUAAAUAUGUGGAGACAUGCAAGAAGAUAAAGUCUUACAAGACCAAAGUAAUCAAGAACUGGGAGUCCAUUUGCAUCAUAUAUUCAAAAGAUCAUGCUAAUGGUGAGGGUGCGAAGACAUGUGUUGAGAUUGCUGCAGAGCCAUUAGAAGAACCGAUUGAAGUCUCUCCAGAAGUAGCGCCGAAGAGGCAGCGAACAUGUGAUGCUAUUUGCAUGCUUGGAGAUAUGAAGAAGGACUUAGUUGAUGCUUUCAAGACAACUGAGCUCAUUCCACUACCAAAGGUUACCACUCCCGCUGAAAUACUUGAUGCACUUAAGUUGAUACCUGAUUUAGCCGAGCAAGACAUGCUUCGACGUUAUGGGAAGUUGGUACUCAACUAUCGCCUGUUUCAAGCUCUAAAGGAGGUGCUCAUCACCAUGAGGAAGACAUGGCUGCUAAUGUUGCCUUGA
rnacentral:rRNA from 1 species